GUGCCAGCCGCCGCGGUAAUACGGAAGGGGCUAGCGUUGUUCGGAAUUACUGGGCGUAAAGCGCGCGCAGGCGGUUCGGCAAGUGAGGCGUGAAAGGCCUGGGCUCAACCUGGGAACGGCGUUUCAGACUGCUGGGCUGGAGUUCGGGAGAGGGUGGUGGAAUUCCCAGUGUAGAGGUGAAAUUCGUAGAUAUUGGGAGGAACACCGGUGGCGAAGGCGGCCGCCUGGCCCGUAACUGACGCUAUAGCGCGAAAGCGUGGGGAGCAAACAGGAUUAGAUACCCUGGUAGUCCACGCUGUAAACGAUGAGUGCUAGAUGUCGGGACGCUUAGCGUUUCGGUGUCGUAGCUAACGCGUUAAGCACUCCGCCUGGGGAGUACGGCCGCAAGGUUAAA
rnacentral:rRNA from 1 species